AGAGUUUGAUUCUGGCUCAGGAUGAACGCUAGCUACAGGCUUAACACAUGCAAGUCGAGGGGCAGCAUGAGCUUAGCUUGCUAAGCUUGAUGGCGACCGGCGCACGGGUGAGUAACGCGUAUCCAACUUCCCCUUAGUAGAGGAUAGCCCGGCGAAAGUCGGAUUAAUACUCUAUGUUGUUCGAUGCGGACAUCUAAGUUGAACCAAAGGUUUACCGCUAAGGGAUGGGGAUGCGUCUGAUUAGGUAGUAGGCGGGGUAACGGCCCACCUAGCCUACGAUCAGUAGGGGUUCUGAGAGGAAGGUCCCCCACAUUGGAACUGAGACACGGUCCAAACUCCUACGGGAGGCAGCAGUGAGGAAUAUUGGUCAAUGGCCGAGAGGCUGAACCAGCCAAGUAGCGUGCAAGGAUGACGGCCCUAUGGGUUGUAAACUGCUUUUGUAUGGGGAUAAAGUUCACUACGUGUAGUGAUUUGCAGGUACCAUAUGAAUAAGGACCGGCUAAUUCCGUGCCAGCCGCGGC
rnacentral:rRNA from 1 species